rnacentral:rRNA from 1 species
UACGUAGGGGGCGUAGCGUUGUCCGGAUUUAUUGGGCGAAAGAGCGUGUAGGCGGCCUGGUAGGUCUGCUGUGAAAACUCGAGGCUCAACCUCGAGAUGUCGGCGGAAACCAUCUGGCUAGAGUCCGGAAGAGGAGAGUGGAAUUCCUGGUGUAGCGGUGAAAUGCGCAGAUAUCAGGAAGAACACCUAUGGCGAAGGCAGCUCUCUGGGACGGUACUGACGCUGAGACGCGAAAGCGUGGGGAGCGAACAGG